GAUGAACGCUGGCGGCGUGCUUAACACAUGCAAGUCGAACGAGAAGUGAAGACGGAAACCUUCGGGCGGAAGGCUUUAUUUCGAGUGGCGGACGGGUGAGUAACGCGUGGGUAACCUGCCUCAUACAGGGGGAUAACAGUUGGAAACGACUGUUAAUACCGCAUAAGACCACAGCACCGCAUGGUGCGGGGGUAAAAACUCCGGUGGUAUGAGAUGGACCCGCGUUCGAUUAGCCAGUUGGCGGGGUAACGGCCCACCAAAGCGACGAUCGAUAGCCGAUCUGAGAGGAUGAGCGGCCACAUUGGGACUGAGACACGGCCCAAGCUCCUACGGGAGGCAGCAGUGGGGAAUAUUGCACAAUGGGGGAAACCCUGAUGCAGCGACGCCGCGUGAGUGAAGAAGUAUUUCGGUAUGUAAAGCUCUAUCAGCAGGGAAGAAAAUGACGGUACCUGAGUAAGAAGCCCCGGCUAACUACGUG
rnacentral:rRNA from 1 species